rnacentral:rRNA from 1 species
UACGGAGGGUGCAAGCGUUAAUCGGAAUUACUGGGCGUAAAGCGUGCGCAGGCGGUUUGUUAAGUCAGCUGUGAAAGCCCCGGGCUCAACCUGGGAAUUGCGGUUGAAACUGGCGAACUAGAAUCUGGCAGAGGGGGGUGGAAUUCCACGUGUAGCAGUGAAAUGCGUAGAGAUGUGGAGGAACACCGAUGGCGAAGGCAGCCCCCUGGGCUGAGAUUGACGCUCAGGCACGAAAGCGUGGGGAGCAAACAGG